AGACCGAACGCGGAUGCCGUUAGCGUGGGUGCUGGCGAGUCAGCCGGUCACAGUCCGGCCGCUCGAGCGUGAAAACACUACACGCACGUGCGGCCUCCGCGUGAAGGGACGAGAGCAGCUCGGUACGUUCCGCGCGAGGAAACCUGCCGGGCAAGAAGCGAGCACGAGGGCUUGACGUGGCGCACGAUUCUAAGACCUCCCUCCAGAAAAACGGGAUAUUCUCAUUUUCUUCGGAGUCCAGAGCAAACUCCACACAUACCAUUUCAUCCACAACUAUCUCAGUAUUAAUCUAUAAAGACCAGGACUACCUUGUGAAACAAAACUACAACUCUACCAUCAAAUUAAAAAACCUGAAACAACAGUGAAGAGUUUUGCCCAUAUUUCUUCACACCCUUGCUGUCUCCUGCUGACUCUGGUGCUUCCCCCAUGUGGCCCUUCAUGGUAUGCUGUGCCCCCUGCUUCCAGAGAACUGGAUCUACAGCAAGAAGUACACUUUACAUCGGGUCCAGUGCAUACGUGUGGAUAUGUACAAUAUUCCAUAGAAUGACGGAGCCACAAACUGUUGAACUGCCACCAUGUCCAUGAACGGUUGCUCUGUUUCCAAGUUUUCACUGAGUACUCCCCCUCCCCUUCUCUUCCCACUGCCUCCCACCUCCUAUCAAAAUUUAUACUACAUGUCACAUGGAUUUUUCCAACCUAAAUACAAGCCUCUAACGUUUUCCCUGUUGAAUUUCAUCUUGCUGAUUUUGGCUCAUCCCUCUAGUCCAUCCAGAUCUUUCUGAGCCCUGUAUUCAGUUUAUUGGCAAUUCUUUCCAACUUUAUGUCAUGUGUCAGUUUAAUUAGCCUGCUUUCUCUAUAGUUACUUAAGCCAAUAAAAAUGUUGUAUAUGGAACACCACCCAAGAUUUCCUUCCAACUCAUGUCAGUCCAUCUACCAGCAUAACUUGAGUUUGGAGUGAAUUAGCUGCAUCUAAUUCACAAGUUUUCAUCUUAAUAGCAUGGAUAUUAUGACCAACUUUGUGAAGUAUCUUACAAAAAUAUUUAAUAAUAUUUACCAUUUCAUUAUCCAUUAAAAAAAAACACAUCUAUUGAGCUCCUUCUAUGUGCAGAGCAUUGUCUAAGCCUCUGGCAAAUGCAAAGA